AGAGUUUGAUCCUGGCUCAGGACGAACGCUGGCGGCGUGCCUAAUACAUGCAAGUAGAACGCUGAAGAGAGGAGCUUGCUCUUCUUGGAUGAGUUGCGAACGGGUGAGUAACGCGUAGGUAACCUGCCUUGUAGCGGGGGAUAACUAUUGGAAACGAUAGCUAAUACCGCAUAACAAUGGAUGACACAUGUCAUUUAUUUGAAAGGGGCAAUUGUUCCACUACAAGAUGGACCUGCGUUGUAUUAGCUAGUAGGUGAGGUAAUGGCUCACCUAGGCGACGAUACAUAGCCGACCUGAGAGGGUGAUCGGCCACACUGGGACUGAGACACGGCCCAGACUCCUACGGGAGGCAGCAGUAGGGAAUCUUCGGCAAUGGGGGCAACCCUGACCGAGCAACGCCGCGUGAGUGAAGAAGGUUUUCGGAUCGUAAAGCUCUGUUGUAAGUCAAGAACGGGUGUGAGAGUGGAAAGUUCACACUGUGACGGUAGCUUACCAGAAAGGGACGGCUAACUACGUGCCAGCAGCCGCGGUAAUACGUAGGUCCCGAGCGUUGUCCGGAUUUAUUGGGCGUAAAGCGAGCGCAGGCGGUUUGAUAAGUCUGAAGUUAAAGGCUGUGGCUCAACCAUAGUUCGCUUUGGAAACUGUCAAACUUGAGUGCAGAAGGGGAGAGUGGAAUUCCAUGUGUAGCGGUGAAAUGCGUAGAUAUAUGGAGGAACACCGGUGGCGAAAGCGGCUCUCUGGUCUGUAACUGACGCUGAGGCUCGAAAGCGUGGGGAGCGAACAGGAUUAGAUACCCUGGUAGUCCACGCCGUAAACGAUGAGUGCUAGGUGUUGGAUCCUUUCCGGGAUUCAGCGCCGCAGCUAACGCAUUAAGCACUCCGCCUGGGGAGUACGACCGCAAGGUUGAAACUCAAAGGAAUUGACGGGGGCCCGCACAAGCGGUGGAGCAUGUGGUUUAAUUCGAAGCAACGCGAAGAACCUUACCAGGUCUUGACAUCCCGAUGCUAUUUCUAGAGAUAGAAAGUUACUUCGGUACAUCGGUGACAGGUGGUGCAUGGUUGUCGUCAGCUCGUGUCGUGAGAUGUUGGGUUAAGUCCCGCAACGAGCGCAACCCCUAUUGUUAGUUGCCAUCAUUCAGUUGGGCACUCUAGCGAGACUGCCGGUAAUAAACCGGAGGAAGGUGGGGAUGACGUCAAAUCAUCAUGCCCCUUAUGACCUGGGCUACACACGUGCUACAAUGGUUGGUACAACGAGUUGCGAGUCGGUGACGGCGAGCUAAUCUCUUAAAGCCAAUCUCAGUUCGGAUUGUAGGCUGCAACUCGCCUACAUGAAGUCGGAAUCGCUAGUAAUCGCGGAUCAGCACGCCGCGGUGAAUACGUUCCCGGGCCUUGUACACACCGCCCGUCACACCACGAGAGUUUGUAACACCCGAAGUCGGUGAGGUAACCUUUUGGAGCCAGCCGCCUAAGGUGGGACAGAUGAUUGGGGUGAAGUCGUAACAAGGUA
rnacentral:rRNA from 1 species